AUGUGUUGCCCAGUUGGUAGAGAAUAGCACUUAGAACUCCAGGGUUGUGAGUUCGAUUCUCACAGAGCGCAUG